UCAAUCACUUUGUCUCUGUUUACAUUAGUUAAUGCACAAUGAACAUUAUCAAAUAUUAUUAAUGUUGUAAAAUAUAUUGUUCAUUGUUAGUUCAUAUUAGCUAAGGCAUUACCAAAUGUUAAGGAAUAAACUCUUAUAGUAAAGUGUUACUAAAUUUUCUUUUACCAUUUCCUUCACAAUGUCUAUUUAUUUCUAUGGCUAACAGAUUUUGUAACAUUUGUCUUUUUUACAGUCUUACCAUUGCUUGUAAGCUGGAUUGGGUAAGAUGGAUCAUCUUUAAAGGCACCAGGAGUUAAGGCAGAUGUGGAGGCACAACGGGUGAUACCAGACACACACCAAGCACAUUAUGUUCGGACAUUCAAUCAUGACAGGAUCCAGGUGGAUGCCGUCCAUUGAGGAAAGAGUUUGUUCAGCGGUUUCUGGAUAGAAUUAAUUCCAAAGAUGGGAAAAAGUGCACAUCCAGACAAGGAGCAAGCAAAAAGACAAGGAACUUGGUGCAGAGAAAAGCUGUGGCCAUUAACCCCCAUGUGAACAGCUUCAUGCAGUCCCUGAUUGAGUUCGAAUGGACGACUUCAAAGUAAAGGCCACUGUGGUCUGUCUGCCACAGUUUAAUGCAUUUAUUUUUAGUGUUAAAUGAAAUUCAAGUAGAAUAUUUAAAACUAUGGGCCAGUGUUGUUUUUACCACAGUGAAAUGUUACCUUUUAGUCGAUGAUGGACUUUAAACUGAAAACUUCAAACUAUGGAACAGUGUUCUAUUUGCCAGAGUUAAAUAUGUUACAGCAGGGGUCUCCAAACUUGUUUAUACUUGUUGAUUUUAUUUUAUGUUACUUGAUUAUAUGUUUAUUAUUGUUUAAAAUCUUGUUUUAAAUAUGUUUGUUUCAAUUAAAUGUUUUUUUAAAUAAAAUUUUGAUACAAACAUUGCUUGGAUUGCCUUUUAAUUCAUUAUGUUUUAAUUUAGCAUUUUUACCAUAUUAAUAACUAUAGAUUUAAACCUAAAUCUCUAGCUAUUUUAUAUAAUAUUAUUGUAUUAAUUGUAAUAAGUAAUAAAUAGUAUUUAUGGGUCAAUAUAGACAUUACAGUAAAUUACUGU